rnacentral:rRNA from 1 species
AUUGAACGCUGGCGGCAGGCCUAACACAUGCAAGUCGAGCGAGCGGCGGACGGGUGAGUAAUGUCUGGGGAACUGCCCGAUGGAGGGGGAUAACUACUGGAAACGGUGGCUAAUACCGCAUACCAUCGGAUGUGCCCAGAUGGGAUUAGCUAGUAGGUGGGGUAAAGGCUUACCUAGGCGACGAGCCCUAGCUGGUCUGAGAGGAUGACCAGCCACACUGGAACUGAGACACGGCCCAGACUCCUACGGGAGGCAGCAGUGGGGAAUAUUGCACAAUGGGCGCAAGCCUGAUGCAGCCAUGCCGCGUGUAUGAAGAAGGCCUUCGGGUUGUAAAGUACUUUCAGUGGGGAGGCGUUACCCGCAGAAGAAGCACCGGCUAACUCCGUGCCAGCAGCCGCGGUAAUAC